rnacentral:rRNA from 1 species
CCUACGGGAGGCUGCAGUGGGGAAUAUUGCACAAUGGGCGCAAGCCUGAUGCAGCCAUGCCGCGUGUGUGGAGAAGGCCUUCGGGUUGUAAAGCACUCUCAGCGGGGAGGAAGGCGGUGAGGUUAAUAACCUCAUCGAUUGACGUUACCCGCAGAAGAAGCACCGGCUAACUCCGUGCCAGCAGCCGCGGUAAUACGGAGGGUGCAAGCGUUAAUCGGAAUUACUGGGCGUAAAGCGCACGCAGGCGGUCUGUCAAGUCGGAUGUGAAAUCCCCGGGCUCAACCUGGGAACUGCAUUCGAAACUGGCAGGCUAGAGUCUUGUAGAGGGGGGUAGAAUUCCAGGUGUAGCGGUGAAAUGCGUAGAGAUCUGGAGGAAUACCGGUGGCGAAGGCGGCCCCCUGGACAAAGACUGACGCUCAGGUGCGAAAGCGUGGGGAGCAAACAGGAUUAGAUACCCGAGUAGUC